rnacentral:tRNA from 1 species
GGGGACUUAGCUCAGUGGUAGAGUGCUUGCCUAGCAAGCAUAAGGCCCUGGGUUCGGUCCCCAGCCCCG